UACCUUUUACACAGCCCGAGAUGAAGCCUCGAACGUCACACGCUACGUCAUUUCGCCUACGUGAAGCCUGCUCGAUAGGGAGCUUCGCUGGGGGGAGGAGCCGAGGUACUCGACACACGCCCCGAUGCCUCGACGCAAACCAUAACAUCACUACAUAUAGGAAGUUUCACCGACGACUGCUUCCUCAACUUGGUCCAAUACAAAGCUGGACUUGCGGAACGUCUGGAAAUGGAGUCCGGAUUAGUACCAACACUCCUCGGCUCAGCGACAAAUCUCGGACAAAUCGAUGACCUCCGUUACAGCUCGCAACUUACGGUCUGAAAUGUGUCCCCGGAUGCAGCAGAAUGUUAUACAUCGAUCUGGUACGAGUUCACAGGCCAGCCCAUCAAUUGGUAACUUUCAGGUGUUUCUCUCAAGGGAUGUUGCCUGCCAUACAGACCACCUGGAAACACAUACUGUAGGCACACAGCUAUCCUUAAAGACUUUCCGGCCCCACUUCACAAGUAAAGAAGACUGCGAUGCCUUUGGAGACCGUAGCACGCAGCGCGGCGCCACCUCUGAGAGUCUGG